rnacentral:tRNA from 1 species
UUAAAAAUAAGUUAAUAAAACUUUUAGACUCAUAAUCUAAAAAUAGAAAUAAAUAUUUCUUUUUUAUC